AGCGUCCCUUGCUCUAGCUUGUUCAAGACCGUGACGGUCCGAUGCGGCCACUGCAGUAACCUCUUGACCGGGAACAUGCGUAGCCUGCUUCUUCCUGCGGCUAACCAGCUCCACCUUGGUCAUGCUUUCUUCAAUCCGCAGAACAUCCUGGUAUUCAAGAAUUUAGGGUUUCAAACAUACUAUAACAAUGAUUGAUAUUUUAUUUGUGUGUGUGGUUUGGGUGGGUGGGUGGGUUACAAAAGGAAAGANNNNNNNNNNNNNNNNNNNNNNNNNNNNNNNNNNNNNNNNNNNNNNNAAGCUAACUAACACAAUUACGAUGGUUAGAUUGAUCUAUUAUUUUAAAAAUCCCUACUUUGGUAUCAAUGCACUUCAGAAAUUAGGGUUUACAAGCACUAAACAAAAUUAGAAGAAAAUAUAGAUAUAAUUCUAUGAAAGCCAUUCUCACAGUUACUUGGUGAUGCCAGGAGGAGAUUCGCAGCGCAGCACCACCGAAUAUGAUGAUAAAUCAGCCCAACCCAAAUGACCCACUUAUGCCAGUGAGAGGAGGCAUGGAGGAGCUCCCUAAGCCACCGGUGGUGAACAGACGUGAGAUUCUUCACUAUUUUUUUUUCUCUACUUCUCUAACAUGACAUCUGGGCUUUUAAAUUACAGAAAGUCCCUCCAUAAGUUCCACAUUUUAGGUCAAUGGACGACCUUUGUCUAGUUGAAGACGUGAAAGUUAGUUAACACCGUUGAGUGUUUGUAGGAUUCUCUAGCCGCAGCGGUCCCUUAAUCAACAGUGCCUGAGAUAUAUUGUUUUGUUUCAAGCAAGGAUCUUUCGGACACUUGUUUCAUGCCUAGCUUUCUUCUUCAUUUUAUUUCACAUUAAAAAUGAUACUACCAGAAAGCCUACUUCAGACCUCCCCAUAUAGCUCCUCAUAUCACUUUCGAGACCCCAUGUAGCUAUGACCUAUGUGCAACAAUAUUUAUUUACCACUUGCUAGUUUCUUCAUUUGUCUUUAAUUACUAAGCCCCAAUUUUGUAGCUGGAAGAGAAGCCUAAAAAGAUCCCUUUAUACUUGCGCGUCAAACGGGUUUUUGAAUUCCUGUCGUGCAUUAUCGUUAACUAUGGAAACGCAUAGUUUUUAUUCUAUUUGAUAAUUUUGUCUAGUUUUAUGUAUGUGAAAGAGAUUUUUGCCCCCGGAAAUCUAGAUAAUGGAUUGAUAGAUAGAUAGAUAGAUAGAUAGAUUGAUAGAGAUGAUGAUGAAGAAAUGAUGAAGAGAGAGAAAGAUAAUGAAAUCAGAAAUCUUUCACAGAGUCAGCGAAUUGAUUUUUUAAUGUCUCUGUCCUUUUGUUUGUCUUUGUUAUGUCUGCGUGCUCCAUCCAAGUCCAGCUCCGGAGAAGAGACAGAGAGUCCCAUCUGCCUACAACCGCUUUAUCAAGUAAGCAGUCUUUAACUUAAUUAAUAAAAAAGAUGGAAGAUCAACUAAGGCUUGAAUUAAUUAGUUUCUCCUGUGUUAAAUGAUGAACUACUGUGAGGAAUUUGUAUGUUUCUAUGAAGCAUAUGCAUGAUCUUUACACGCAUGUGUACCAACCUGCAGGGACGAGAUCCGACGCAUCAAAGCUGGAAACCCUGAUAUAAGCCACAGAGAGGCCUUUAGUGCAGCUGCAAAGAAU
rnacentral:lncRNA from 1 species